GAUGAACGCUGGCGGCAUGCUUUACACAUGCAAGUCGGACGGGAAGUGGUUUUUCCAGUGGCGGACUGGUGAGUAACGCGUAAGAACCUGCCCUUGGGAGGGGAACAACAGCUGUAAACGGCUUCUAAUACCCCGUAGGCUGAGGAGCGAAAGGAGGAAUCCGCCCAGGGGGGGGCUCGCGUAUGAUUGGCUAGGUGGUGAGGUAAUAGCUUACCAAGGCCGUGAUCAGUAGCUGGUCUGAGAGGAUGAUCAGCCACACUGGGACUGAGACACGGACCAGACUACUACGGGAGGCAGCAGUGGGGAAUUUUCCGAAAUGGGCGACAGCAUGAAGCAGCAAUGCGGCGUGGAGGUAAACGGUCUACGGGUAAUGAACUUCUGUUCCUGGAGAAGAAACAAUGACGGUAUCUGGGGAAUAAGCAUCGGCUAACUAUGUG
rnacentral:rRNA from 1 species